rnacentral:rRNA from 1 species
AGUGAACGCUGGCGGUAGGCCUAACACAUGCAAGUCGAACGGCAGCACAGUAAGAGCUUGCUCUUACGGGUGGCGAGUGGCGGACGGGUGAGGAAUACAUCGGACUCUACUUUUUCGUGGGGGAUAACGUAGGGAAACUUACGCUAAUACCGCAUACGACCUACGGGUGAAAGCAGGGGAUCUUCUGACCUUGCGCGAUUGAAUGAGCCGAUGUCGGAUUGGCUAGUUGGCGGGGUAAAGGCCCACCAAGGCGACGAUCCGUAGCUGGUCUGAGAGGAUGAUCAGCCACACUGGAACUGAGACACGGUACAGACUCCUACGGGAGGCAGCAGUGGGGAAUAUUGGAAAAUGGGCGCAAGCCUGAUCCAGCCAUACCGCGUGGGUGAAGAAGGCCUUCGGGUUGUAAAGCCCUUUUGUGGGGAAAGAAAAGCAGCAGGUUAAUACCCCGCUGUUCUGACGGUACCCAAAGAAUAAACACCGGCUAACUUCGU